rnacentral:sRNA from 1 species
CAUUAUCAGUAAAGAAGUUCUGAGUAAACACGUUGUCGUUGAAUACUGCUUCUCUGCCGAACCUUAUUUAGUGCCUCAUGCAGUAAUGUCUCUGUUUCAUCUCGGUCAAUGCCUGCGGGCUAAGAAAACACUCUAAGGAAUUUUGCAAAUGGCAAAGAUUAAAGGUCAAGUUAAGUGGUUCAACGAGUCUAAAGGCUUUGGUUUCAUUACUCCUGCUGACGGCAGCAAAGACGUGUUCGUACACUUCUCUGCAAUCCAGGGUAACGGCUUCAAGACUCUGGCUGAAGGCCAGAACGUUGAGUUCGAAAUUCAGGACGGCCAGAAAGGCCCAGCAGCGGUUAACGUUACUGCUA